rnacentral:lncRNA from 1 species
UUGAGGGAAUCUAUAACUAAAGGGAUUAGGAUGAGACCUUCAAGGGAGAGAGAUUAUCCUGCAUCUGCGGGGGUUUCUUGUAUCUUUCUCCAGAGCAUCUGGUGCUGGCUACGGUUGGAGCAGUGUAUUAGACUUGGUAGAUGACAAGUUUGUGCCAGAACAAGAAGUCUGGUGUUCAAAGCUAAAAAAGCACUUACUGUGCAUCGCCUGUGUUCGUGUCAUCUGCCCACUACAGUGGAGCCAUGUCUUCAGUUUAUUUCCAUGUACCAGCAUCGAACCAUCUCAACAAUGGGCUUCUUUGGAGGACAGCUGUUGUGCAGUAGGGAACAUCUGCGCUUCUGAAGUGAAAAUGGAGAGAUUCUUCCCACCUUGUUAUCAUUCAGGGCUUGUUCAUAAGUGUGGCACUGAAAGGGGAAAAUUCGGUUUUACCAGUGGAGUACCUUGCAGUGUACACAAAAUUCAGUCUUAGAAAAAUAAAUUCCAGUGGACGGAUAACUAUCCA